UAUAUGUAAUUAAAUUUUUUAUAGGGGGUUAAGUGUAAUUUUCACAAUAUAUUAAUAUUUUUUAAGGGUUAAUAUAUAAAUUUCACAAUAUUUAUAUACUAUAUAAAUUUUACAAUAUAUGUAAUUUUAAAUUUAAUUACAUAUAAAUCCCUAAAAACUUAAAUAUCCCUAAAUUUCUCCCUCAAAUCUUCUUAAUCCCUAAACCUCUCCCCAAAUUUUCUAAAUCCUUAAACCUCUCCCCCAAAUUUCUAAAUCCCUAAACCUCUCCCCCAAACCCAAAACCCACGAUAUUUCCCCAAUAUCCUCCAAAUUUCCCCAAUAUCCCCAAAACCCACGAUUUCUCCCAAAAUCUCCCCAAUAUUCUUUCGCCAAUAUUAUUUCCC
rnacentral:lncRNA from 1 species